ACUUAUUUUCAAUCCAACAUCACUCUAACAUUCCUUAAUUUUGCAGUGUUUCUGAAGAUAGUCUUUGAAUUUCUUCCAAUCUUCCUCCAUCGACUCUUCUCCCUGGUCACGGAUUCUGCCAGUCAUUUCCGCCAAUUCCAUGUAGUCCAUAAGUUUCAUCUGCCAUUCCUCCAGCGUGGGAAGUUCUUGUGUCUUCCAAUACUUUGCGAUGAGUAUUCUUGCUGCUGUUGUUGCAUACAUAAAGAAAGUUCUAUCCUUUUUAACACCAUUUGGCCCACUAUGCCCAGGAGAAAGGCCUCUGGUUUCUUAGGGAAGGUAUACUUAAAUACCUUUUUAAUUCAUUAUAUAUCAUUUCCCAGAAAACCUUAAUCUUUGGGCACGUCCACCAAAGGUGAAAAAUGUACCUUCAGUUUCUUUACAUUUCCAACAUUUGUUAUCGGGCAAGUGAUAGAUUUUCGCAAGCUUGACUGGGGUUAUGUACCACCUGUAUAUCAUUUUCAUAAUAUUCUCUCUUAAGGCAUUACAUGCCGUAAAUUUCAUACCAGUGGUCCAUAACUGUUCCCAGUCAGCAAACAUAAUGUUAUGUCCUACGUCCUGUGCCCAUUUAAUCAUAGCCGAUUUUACCGUUUCAUCUUGAGUAUUCCAUUUCAGCAGCAAGUUAUACAUUCUUGACAGAUUCUUGGUAUUGGGUUCUAACAAUUCUAUUUCUAAUUUUGAUUUUUCCACCUGGAAGCCAAUUUUCCUGUCUAAUUUAAAUGCCUCCAUUAUUUGAUAAUAAUGAAGCCAGUCUCGCACUUUGUUUUUUAAUUUUUCAAAACUCUGCAAUUUCAGUCUAUCUCCGUCUUGUUCCAAAAUUUCCCAAUAUUUCGGCCAUUUGACCUCCAUAUUGACCCUUUUCAAGGCUUUCGCUUCCAUUGGUGACAGCCACCUUGGGGUUUUAUUUUCUAGCAAAUCCUUAUAUCUAAUCCAAACAUUACAUAAUGCUUUCCUGACAAUGUGGUUUUUAAAUGCUUUGUGUGCUUUGACCUUAUCAUACCAUAAAUAUGCAUGCCAUCCAAAUACAUUAUUGAAACCUUCCAAAUCCAAAAUGUCAGUGCAAAACGCAUUUAGAAUGAAGGCAAGAACAACUAAGACAAGGAAAUCUCCGGGAGACUGUCUAAUUAUAUUCAAGGACAGAGAAAUGAGAAAUAUGAUCUUGCAGAAGAACAGAGAGAAAAGAUUGAAUAUUGAUGGGAAUUAUAUAAUUAUUUUUAAAGAUAUACCAAUCAGACUGUUGAAACGGAGAGAUCCAUAUAAACCAUUGGUUCAAAUUUUAAAGAAGAACAAAAUAGAAUUCAAGUGGGAAUUUCCAGAGGGGAUCUCUUUUUUCUAUGAAAGUAAGAAACACAAACACACAAGCUCAGAGGAAGCAAGCAAGUUUCUGAGAAGAUACAAGGAAUUAAGACCAGAAGAGGAAGAAAUAAGAGGUGCAGCAGCAGGAGCAGGAGCUACGGGGGAAAGUGGAUUGGGAGAGGGAGAAGAAGAAGAUG